UAACAGCCUAUCUUCGAACAUCCAACUGUUUCCUUCCAUGUCUCUGCUGGAGGCAACCUUGCAAACCUUAGCCCUGUUCAGCCUCCCUGUCAAAAUAAGAUUACAUAAUGCACAUUUCAAGUGCAGCAAAUCCAAUAAUCAGACUCCUGGCCUCAUUCCGUUCUAUUUCAGUGGCUCACCACUGUGUAUGGGUGGAAUUCAGGCACAGGGAAAUCAAAAUUGCCUUCUGGAUAUCCCUGAACUCAGGAGCCGGGUCUGUACAUAUAGAAUGCCAACGGCUCCCAUGCAACCAGAUCUCAUUUCCCACUUGCAAAUAUACACCUCCACCACUGUUGCAGAAACCUCACGGGAGCCUGGCACACCAGCAGCAUCCUAUUUUGCAGAUGAGAACCCCGAGGCCUGCUGAGGAAGGCGGCUUGCCCACAGCGGAGAGGAUGGAUUCCAUUUAUAGCUAUAUCCCUUUUAACACUGGAGGCUUGUCUAUGCCACGUGGGUCUUGGGAGCUCUGUGGAUGAGACCUGGAUACGGAGACUCGGCGUGGCUGGAUUCCCUGCAGUCACUCAGAAGGACAGCCAUCAAUCUUCACUGAAUGAAUUAGCCUGUGACUUAUGGAGACACCAGCUGUGCACUGUCAACCUCGUACGAUUCAAGGAUCAAAUAAAACAACUGCCGGCACACGCUCCACGCCGUGUCGCCGGCUGUGAGACAGCUUUGUUUCAGAGGUAGGAGGAGGCUCGGUACUUUGUGAUGCCACGGAGACAGUGACCGUACAGACGCGGAGUCCAUGUUCUUCCUCAACCCUUGUUGUGAGUGUCUGUUGGCUAGCUUCUCACUGCCUUUCUCCAGUGCCCUGAUGCUUCAUCUCCUGAAGGCACUUCAAGGUAGAUAGGAACAUCUGAGGUCCUCAUGGGCAGAAACUGAGGCGCCGAUGAGGCUGCGUAUGGGGCAGAGAGCAGACAGAUCCCUCGGCCCUGGGAACCCUUCUACCCUGCCUGCUGGCUCACUUUCACUUCCCAACACCUCCAGUGGAGGGAUUCACAGUGCACGGCGGCCAGGCAUCAGGAGAGAUGACUGUAAGGAAUCGCUGUUCCUACAAAAUAAACCAUGGCUGAAGGCCCUGUGUACAUUGAGUAUAUUUACACAUAUUUAUGUGUAAGUGUGUGCGUGUGUUUAAGGUCAUGUACAUGUGAAGGAAGCCACAAAAAGAA